GGUGUGCAGUGCAGGUGGCAGGACCACUGGCACUGUGCCUUGUCCUUUUGUCAGCCACACACUCCCAAGCAUGUCCGUGGUUCCCUUUCGGGGCAGAGUGCCCAGUGCAGGUGAGGCCCUGUGCCCUGAGCAGUGCCUGCUUCCAUCAGCUCAAGGUCUUUUCUUCCAGCAUUGAUGACCCAAACUUUUCCAGCUGUUCUUUGGCUCAUCCCACCUAUUCUUUGUUGUGUCCCAGUGGGGAACACAUGAAACUGGCUGGCCCACCUGGCUGGAUUUUAACGCCUCUGCUGUGAUUUGCUGCUAACAGGUAGGCCAGGCAGUUUCAGCACCCAGGUUUCAGGGAGAGCGGCCAAGCAGUUUCAGCAGGUUUAAAGCACCCAGGCCUCAAUGAGAUGGGCCAAGCAGUUUCAGCAGUUUUGAAGCACCCAGGUUUCAGGGAGAUCUCCCUGCUGGUCUGCAGUGGAGCAGGGCCCACAGCAGGGUCCCCUCGAUGGCUCCAGGCUGCCAUCCCCUGGCACCGGGCCCUGCUCAGCUGCUGCCCGGGAGCUCCCUGUGACUGGCAGGAGCCUGAUGGACCCUGAAGCUGAGAAUAAAGCUGAAGGAGCCUUGCCCCCAUAUCAACAGCCUAAAUGGUGAGGCAAAAGGCACAGCCACAGCCCAACUGAUGUCUUUGUGCCCUACACCAGCACCCACCCUGGGGCAUCACCACAGGUGUCUGUGCUGUCUUCACAUGACCAAUGGACAGAGGAAUGGAAGAGGAUUUAUCUCAUUCCAUAUAGAAGGCUUGUGAAGGAAUGCAAAUUCUGGAUGCUACUGAUGGUGGUCUUUGAAAGCAAGAAAUAACAAGUAUGGCUUGGAUAAGAAGAGCUUGAACCUGGAAUUUCCCAGAAGAAUAACAAAAGCCUCUAGCAAGACAUAAGCUCCAAGUUCUCCACUGUUCAAUACAACAUUGGCUGGUGCUACAUGGCUCUUUCCUCAGACAACAGCAAUGGAAUGGAAGAACAUUUAUCUCAUCCCGUACAGAAGGCCUGUGAAGGAAUGCAAAUUCUGGACACUAGUGAUGGUGGUCUUUGAAAGCAAGAAAGAGUAUGGCUUGGAUAAGAAGAGCUUGAACCUGGAAUUUCCCAGAAGAACAACAAAAGCCUCUAGCAAGACAUAAGGUCUGGACUCUGCUCCAGCUGACAGCAAAGCACAGCACACUCAAAAAGAGGAGAGGGAGACUGAGCACAGACCUUGGACACAGAAUGUACUGCUCAGCAAUGUGGGGUAGGCAAGGUAUUGCAGGGCUGACAUUUCUCAUGAAGAAGAGACUGAAGCAUGCUGGAAAUAGAACCAUCUUGAGAAAGACAUCAAGCAGCUGACUCGCUGUCUGCCAGCCCUUAGGAUAUGACUUCUAUCUCAGAUUCUGUGUUAGCAGGCAGAGAGAAAGAGGGAAUAUUUAGCAACAAAUAAAAGUGCGUACAUACACAGAUUUCCAGCCUAUGGCCUGGCAAAAUCUCACAAUAUUUAGGUUUGCAUUGUAAACUGGAGACUAGAGUUUAUAACCUUCUAGUGUGGAAAACUUCUCACAGCCUUGAAGAGUGAUAUUUUCUUCAUUAUUUUUAUCCAUGUUUCAAUACUUUUAUUAAUGAGUUUAUUCAGUGGAAGAAGCCCCAUGGUCCUCGUUCUGAUGUCAGAACCUAUUACCAAAAAUAAACCUAGGAAAACAGUGAUCAGAUCUUCAUAUAAUUCUCAUCCAUUCUGUUAUGCAGCUUGAAAAAACUGAUUGAAAAUGAGCACUGCUGACUACUCACAUUUGGCAAGGAAGGCCUUUUCAUCUUGUCUAGGUUGAAUCUUUUUAUAAUAAGAUUGCCCUAUGGCAGCCAGCAGAGUUUUCUACUGUAGUAGAAAAUAAACUGUGAGGUCCCAUUUCCCCUUUCACUAUGGUGCAGCACUGAAAUUAUGUUCAAUUUAUGAUUUCUGUAUGCUUAUCCACUAUCUCUUGCAGUCUCAUUAGUUUCUUCUUUUUCACUAGUUUCUCAGUACAAUCUGAAAUUUCAGACAUGUCUUCAGGAUGUUUGUUUAUCCAGUAGGACAUUCACUCAGUGGGCAGUAGAUGAAGAAGUAUUCAUUUGUAGAUUCAUAAAGAAACCUUCACAUUUUAGGUAGCAUCAUGACUCACUGAGAUUGUCACUGGGAAGUUUUGAGUCCAGAAACUUUUCCUGAAGAUUGGCUGCUAUGACAUUUAUUUCCAACUGACUGUAUCUUUGGGGAUAAUUCAUUCAAGUCAAUAAGCAUCAGUAGAUUCCAAUGUAACACUGAUUAUGCUUCUGUGAUGGACAUGUGCUCUGAUCUAGGCCUUGUGAGGUUCUACUGCUUACAGAAUGGCAUGGCAUUUCAUGGGAAAGCUGCUGUGGAGAUUCAGGGGGAUAACAAGAUGCAUUGUAGAGUGAAAUUGGGUCUUGAUAAGUAAUUACUACUACCACCACUAGAUGAAGAUUUAAAAGCAUGAUUCCAAGUGACUUACUUGAUAAGUAAUUACUACUACCACCACUAGAUGAAGAUUUAAAAGCAUGAUUCCAAGUGACUUACUUAUUUCCCUAACAACAUGAAGCUCACAGGAUAAAGCAAACAGCUCCUGCUAGUGAGCCCUGGGAGGCUGGACAGAGCUCAGAGAUGCUCAGCUUCUGCUCCAGUAGGAAACCUACAGGUGCCCUGCACAAACAGCUGUGUCUCCUUGUGUCAGAUCCUUCUCAGGUAAUUGGGGUCCCUGAUCAGGAACUGGGAGGUGCUCAGGGCCAUGGGAGGGACCAGGAAUGAGCAGGAUCUGCAUGGAUGUGCUGUUUCUCUGGCAGACCAUGGCCCAUGUAAACUAAGCCCAGGCACAGCUGGGAGAGCAGAGGAGCAGUGUGUGUGAGCCUGUCCCACCCUGGGCAGGGGCUCACUGCAAGGGACAUGCCUCCAAGGACAUGUUGAGAUCAGGUGGGUGAGGCUGAGAAGAAUCGAAUACUCAUCAGUGGGGAAGCUGAGAAGGCGUAAUGCAGGACAGGGGAUGUAAAGAGAGGAGGGACAGGCAGUGGAGAGAGAAGAUGCAGUGAUGUGGGUGCAUUGUAAAUGAGAAGUUGAUGCAGCAAAAGUUUUGCUGGAAUGGAAAGAGCUUGAGCUCUGCUGUCACUCUUAUAGGAGACCAGGAGACAAACUCCCUACACAUAAUUCAUUUUAGAAUGUGCUAACACCUUUCAACACUUUCAUUUCUUUUUCCGUCUCAAAGAGCAAAAAAAUCACAAGAGGAGCUUCAUACUUUGGAGAUGAAAAUCAAGAAUUGUGAUGAAAUCCUUUUAAUCCAUUCUCUCCCUUGUCAUUUUAGAAAUAGCUUUGUUUCAGUAGACUGAACCAAGAAAACAAAAGUAAUCCAAUGCUACACCUGGAGCACAUGUGCAUACUUAUUGUUGCCCAAAAUAAGGUUAAUAUCACAUUGAUUUGGAAAAUUGACAGGGUUACUAGAAUAGUUUAUCUUCUAAUGAGAAGCCUUUAGCUGUAGGAAUUAAAUUAUCAACAUGCAAAAAAAGACAUUGUCUCAUAUACUGACUUGAUCCAAAAUGCAAAGAUAAGCACCCAGGUUUCUUGUUAAAAAAUACAAUAUGUGCAGCAUUUUUUGCUGCUUCAUGUUAGUUUUACAUUAAUCUAGCAGGAAAAUUUCCAAUGGGAAAUGCAGCUUGCAAAUGCAAUGGGAUUUGCAGCUUGCAAAUGCUAUUCUCAGCUAUGCUGUUAAUAUUUAUAAAACAUGCCAGGAGGGACCUUUUUGCCUGCGGAUCCUUAAUGACUGAUAAGGAAUGUGUAGCCUCUUACUGAAGAUCCCUGGGUAAAGUAAGACCUCUCAGGAAUGCUGGCAUGAGACAAGGAGAAAUGCCAGAACAUUAAUUCUCUGGUGCAAGCUUCUCACUGUGACACUUUUGCUAAGAUGUGGCUGAACACUGGACCCUGGAGAUGGUAAGAAUAAAUUUCACAUUCAAUUUCUAUUGAAAGAUGGGUAUUGUGAUAAAUUAAAUAUGUUGAGUACUUUCUCUGGUUUUGGCAUAUUUAAUCUGGGUAAUUUUUUACCUGGGUAAAAUGAGUCCUUUAGGGACUUGAGCUGUCAUUCCAGAUGAGCAGUGCUAAAACUGAUGGAUAAAAAACCAGUUGGGAAUUAUGUCUAGCAAAAAAACAGUAAUGACCCUAACAAAGGAGAGAUUAACUAAGCUGGUGAGGUACUUUGGGCCAGUUACUGGCUUGGCCAUUGCAAGAACAGAACAGGAGAGAGCUGACCUUUGUGUCUGUGCUGCUUAGAACAUCCUUGUAUCUCAGGGUAGCUGUGAAAGGACUGAGAUGGCUUUGUGCUCUUCUGAUCCUGCCCCUUCCUUUGGAGACUCAUUUCUGCAAUGCUUGAUGCAGUUAUUAGCUGAUCUUACAGCAGGGAAAACAUGUGGGACUUCUGAAGUUUCAACAGUAUAUUUUAAACCUAGGAAUAUCUUUAUUUUGCUUGGUGAGACCAAAGUGUCUGCCCACUGAGGAAAAGUAAGUCUUGCAAAGAAAAGUGAAGAGGGAGGGCAAAACCAGCUAGAGAUUAGUGACAGUUGACGCACAGAAUUUUUAGACUUAAUGAUAAACUGCUUUCUGUUCGUGAGAUUUCUAUGGUUACUCAAAUUCCUCCCAUCUUCACAGCAUGUGUCAGAGAAAGAAACAUGAGCAGCAGGUUCUGGAUGAGGAGGUGACAUUCAGGAUGCCCUUUCCAUCACAUGCCAGAGUAGCUGAACAUCUUCAGUUACCAAACAGAGAUAAGAGAUACAGUACUAUACCCGGAAAAGAGCUGAGACAGUCUGGAAGGAGGAACCCUUCUUCUUGCCUCCCUUCUUGCCACCACCAGCCUCUGCAAAUUGAAUAAAGGAAAACAAAAAGUUUUAAAAUUAACAUGAAACAACUUUAACUGUUUAGUGUUUAUGGCUUUAAUUCUGUGACAAGUUUGCCACAUUAAAAAUACAAUUUUCAGAAAACAGACCUGCAUCUGCUCCACCGUAGUUGGCAAAGAGUAAAGCCAGGGUCUUCACAGAUGACUUCUGGUACAGCCCAAUGACAGUUUCAUUCAGAGGGUCCUUGUUCUUCUCCAACCACCCAGAGAUGUUGUAGUCCACUGUGCCAGCAUAGUGCACCAGGGAGAAGUGGGCCUCAGCCUUGCCUUUGGCAGGCUUGGGCUUCUGGAAGUUGUUGGACUUGCCCAGGUGCUGGUCAUAGAGCUUGUUCUUGAAAGAGGUGUCAGUUGCCUUGGGGAACAUGCACUCCUCUUCCAGGAUGGAGAAGAUGCCCAUGGGCUGGGAGAGAUUAUGACAGACAAGAGGGAGAAACAGAUUAGAAAGGAGACAUCUCAUGGUUGGAAAGUUGCUGAAACCAGAAAAGGAAGCUAUUCCUAUAGUGACUUUAAAUAAGAGAAAAUCAACUAAGGCUCAAUAUUUUCAGGGUUGCUAUUUCAUUCAAAAUUAUGGAAAUGCCUUUGCUGAUGAAAUUAUUAUAGAUAUGACAAUGUGAAAUACUGUUCUCUCCAUAGAAGCUGUUUACUGGUAAGUACUUAGAGAAUAUGACCACAUUUUUCACUUCAUUUUGUAAUUUGGCAAUGAAUUCUCUAACCAAAAGCCUUCAUAUGUGAGUAAUGAUCUCCAAAAACACUUCUACCCUGUUGCCACUUUCACAGAGUAUAUAUUUGAAGAAGCAAAAAUAUUCUCACAUGGUUCUUAGUUCUCUUAGCAAGCAUAGAACACCAAAUUUAUAUUAAAAUUGAACAGGAAGGAUACCUUCUCAAUGAGCUCAAUGCAGGCAGCCAGGUCCAUCCCAAAAUCAAUGAAUGUCCAUUCAAUCCCCUCCUUCUUGUACUCCUCCUGCUCCAGCACGAACAUGUGGUGGUUGAAGAACUGUUGCAGUUUCUCAUUGGUGAAGUUGAUGCACAGCUGCUCAAAGCUGUUGAACUAAUAUUUGAGGAAGUGUGUUAAUAGUGCCAGACAUAAAAAGCCAUACAACGCUUUCAAGGAUCAGGAAUAAUACUAAGGUGUUUUCUUGUACAAUCCUAAUUCACCAUGUCUUAUACUUUAAGUGCGAGACCCCUUCCUGUGUAUUUUUCCUUUGCUAUCUCUCUAAGAUAUUUAGAAAAGAGAGGUUUCUAAUUUAGAUCAAUGAGAAGAUUAGUUUUCUAUUCUCUUGUUUUUUCGGGAUUAACAACAUGAUUCCAAAAGUCCUACAAAAAUGUGUAGGGAAAUAGUCACUUCUAUUAAAUAUAUUUCAAAAUUCUCAAUUAUAGUUCUACAAAAAUUCUGGGAAAGCUGUGCUCCUUACAUCAAAGAUCUCAAAGCCAGCAAUGUCCAGCACACCAAUGAAGUACUGCCUGGGCUGCUUCGUGUCCAGCUGUUGGUUGAUGCGAACAACCAUCCACAGGAACAUCUUCUCGUAGACAGCCUUUGCCAGGGCACCCACUGAAUUGUUCACCUAAAGCACAGAGAAAGCUUUGGAGGUUACUAUACGCAGCAGAGGAGAAUCAGUGGAAACCAUCAUAGCAUGCUCCACAUUACCAUAUUUUUUCUACCUGCUGCACAGUUUGGCCCUUGGUGACGUAUUCAUUCCCCACCUUGACGCGGGGGUAGCAGAGGGCCUUGAGCAGGUCUGCUGAGUUCAGACCCAUCAAGUAGGCAGCCUUGUCAGCAACUAUCACCAGAAAAGACAGAAGAGUAGAUAUUCAAAAAUUCCUAAAGGUCAGUGCUUGACUGUCCCAAUAGUGUUCUCCACAAGAUUGCAUAACAGUAUCUGUCAAAGCUAAAAAGCUAAUUUCUCUUUUUGUGUUCAGUACUCAGAGUCUAUAACUCUUCCUGAGCUUCAGAUUCUGCAAACAUUCUUCAAGAGAGCUCAUUGCCUUUAUCCUCUUUCAUGUGUUGGUAUGGAACUUCAAACUUUCUAGUCGUAUAGAAGGAGGAUUUUAUCACUCAGAAAGAUGGAGGUAUGGACUGUCCUUCCUAUUAUGACAGAGACUAAUGAAGUACACAUCUUAUGUCAGAGUUCUCUCCAGUAGGUGAGGGUGAAGAGGAGCACAGCCUUCGGUCUUGUUAGGGCUGCUCCAUACUACAGAGGUUGCAAGGCGUAUUUAACUUAAGUAUGAUUAGAAUGUUAGAGGAAUUGACAUGCAAGUCUCCUGGCUUACUGUCAGUGUACACUGGAUCUCUUAUAUACUAGUGACAGAGGAAAAAGUAGAGGUAUCAUUAAAUGAGAUAAAUGCCUCAAAUGGCAUGGAGCAACGAGUGCUAUUUUUAGUUUCUACAUUUAAAUCCUGAAAUCUGAAUAAGUCCUUAUGUAAUAAAGACUAUCUCCCUUGGAAAUCUUGCUGACUCUGCUGAUACCUUCGGUGCCAUCAGGCUCUGCCUGCUCCUCUCGUUGCUUCUGCUUGAACUUCAGGUUCCCAUAGUGCAUGACAGCCCCCGUCAGCUUGUAGAUGGCUGUUUUCUCAUCAGCACUGAAGCCCAGGAUGUCAAUGGCACUCUGGGAACAGAAACACAAUGUACAUAUACCAGGGCUCAAGUCCACCAGAUAAUCAUUUGCUAAAGUUACUCACAUCUGUUGCCAUCAGCUCCUCCUGAUCAUCAAUGCUGGGGACUGUGAUCUCACCUUGACUCACAAAGUGGAAAUCAUAAGGGUUGGUGGUAAUGAGAAGCAUGUCUGAAAGCAACAGAAGGAGAAAAAUAAGCUUAAUUUAGUUUCUAGAUAACACAAUGAACUCAAUGAUCUUUCAAAUAAAGUUAGUGAUCUUUCCUACCAAUUAGCUCUGGCUUCUUGUUAGACAUGAUCUGAUAAAAGAUGUGGUAGCUCCUUUCCGCCUUGAGCUGGAAAGUGACUCUGGAUUUCUCCAACAGAUCUGUCCAGGAAGGUAGGACAUAGUCAAGCACAAGAAGUGGGGAAGACUGCAGGGAAGAGGGAUCAGGCAGAAGGGUGUCUUACAUGUUUCAAUGUCAGCAGAAGCCAAUUUGCCUGUGGCACCAAAAUGGAUUCUGAUGAAUUUACCCUGAAAGCAGCAGGAAAGUCAAUUGACACUUAUUUUACCAAUCUGGACAACAAGAAUAUUCAAAUUGAUGUUGACAGUUGUACAAAUGAAUAACUCACAAAGCGUGAGGAGUUGUCAUUCCUCACGGUCUUGGCGUUUCCAAAGG